GAUCAUUACAGAGUUCAUGCCCUCACGGGUAGAUCUCCCACCCUUGUGUAUAUCAUUAUCUGUUGCUUUGGCGGGCCGUGAGCCCAGCUCGCCCGGGUCCUGCCCGGCGUGCCCGCCAGAGGAAACCUAAACUCUGAAUGUUAGUGUCGUCUGAGUACUAUAUAAUAGUUAAAACUUUCAACAACGGAUCUCUUGGUUCUGGCAUCGAUGAAGAACGCAGCGAAAUGCGAUAAGUAAUGUGAAUUGCAGAAUUCAGUGAAUCAUCGAAUCUUUGAACGCACAUUGCGCCCCUUGGUAUUCCGGGGGGCAUGCCUGUUCGAGCGUCAUUAUAACCAAUCCAGCCUGGCUGGGUGUUGGGCCUCGCGGUACCGCGGGCCUUAAAGCUAGUGGCGGUGCUCUCAUGCUCUACGCGUAGUAACUUUUCUCGCUAUAGGGUCCUGGGAGAUGCUAGCCAACAACCCCAAAUUUUUUCAGGUUGACCUCGGAUCAGGUAGGGAUACCCGCUGAACUUAAGCAUAUCAAUAAGCGGAGGAAAAGAAACCAACAGGGAUUACCUCAGUAACGGCGAGUGAAGCGGUAACAGCUCAAAUUUGAAAUCUGGCUCUUUUAGGGUCCGAGUUGUAAUUUGUAGAAGAUGCUUUGGGUGUGGCUCCGGUCUAAGUUCCUUGGAACAGGACGUCAUAGAGGGUGAGAAUCCCGUAUGUGACUGGUAGCUUUCGCCCGUGUAAAGCUCUUUCGACGAGUCGAGUUGUUUGGGAAUGCAGCUCAAAAUGGGUGGUAAAUUUCAUCUAAAGCUAAAUAUUGGCCAGAGACCGAUAGCGCACAAGUAGAGUGAUCGAAAGAUGAAAAGCACUUUGGAAAGAGAGUUAAACAGUACGUGAAAUUGUUGAAAGGGAAGCGCUUGCAACCAGACUCGCAGGCCGUCGAUCAUCCUGGGUUCUCCCUGGUGCACUCGGCGGUUUUCGGGCCAGCAUCAGUUUGGGUGGUGGGAUAAAGGCCUUGGGAAUGUAGCUUCUUUCGGGGAGUGUUAUAGCCCUCGGUGCAAUGCCGCCUACCUGGACUGAGGACCGCGCU
rnacentral:rRNA from 1 species